rnacentral:rRNA from 1 species
ACUGACCUUAAAAAAAAUAAGACAUGAGAGUGGAAUAAUGGACACUGUACCAACAAAAUACUGCAGCAAUUUUGUAAAUUCGAUGAAUUUAAAAAGGGUUGUAAAGUACUUUCAGAGGGGAAGAAAAAAUGACGGUACGAACAGAAGGAGAGUCGGCUACAUACGUGCCAGCAGCCGCUUUAAUACGUGUGUAACUAGCCUCCUCCGGAUUUAUUGGGCAAAAGAGUGUCUAUGUGGUUUUAUACGUCUGAUGCGUAAAUACACGGUUCCACUAUGUACUGCGUUUGAAACUGUGUAAUUAUAGUUCUGGAUAGGUUAGCGCAACUGCAAGCGAAGUGGGGAACAUGGUCGAUAUUUGUAGGAAUCCCGUUGGGAAAACCAACUUACUGGUCAAGUUUUUUCUUUAC